AUACGUAGGUGGCAAGCGUUGUCCGGAGUUUACUGGGCGUAAAGGGAGCGUAGGCGGACUUUUAAGUGAGAUGUGAGAUACCCGGGCUCAACCUGGGUGCUGCAUUUCAAACUGGAAGUCUAGAGUGCAGGAGAGGAGAGUGGAAUUCCUAGUGUAGCGGUGAAAUGCGUAGAGAUUAGGAAGAACACCAGUGGCGAAGGCGACUCUCUGGACUGUAACUGACGCUGAGGCUCGAAAGCGUGGGGAGC
rnacentral:rRNA from 1 species